rnacentral:rRNA from 1 species
AUGAACGCUGGCGGCGUGCUUAACACAUGCAAGUCGAACGAAGCAACUAUCUUGCUGCAAGAGAGUGACUUAGUGGCGGACGGGUGAGUAACGCGUGGGUAACCUGCCUCAUACAGGGGGAUAACAGUUGGAAACGACUGCUAAGACCGCAUAACCCGCUAGUGUCGCAUGACACGGACGGAAAAUAUUUAUAGGUAUGAGAUGGGCCCGCGUCUGAUUAGCUAGUUGGUAAGGUAACGGCUUACCAAGGCGACGAUCAGUAGCCGACUUGAGAGAGUGAUCGGCCACAUUGGGACUGAGACACGGCCCAAACUCCUACGGGAGGCAGCAGUGGGGAAUAUUGGACAAUGGGGGAAACCCUGAUCCAGCCGACGCCGCGUGAGUGAAGAAGUAUUUCGGUAUGUAAAGCUCUAUCAGCAGGGAAGAUAAUGACAGUACCUGACUAAGAAGCCCCGGCUAACUACGUGCCAGCCGCCGC